ensembl:lncRNA
GCCCAGCUUAGAAAAGCGGCCACGGUGGCGCCCUGCCAACUUUGCUGGCGGGAAGGCAGGCCGGCGCCCCCCCACCGCCACCCCAGCUUGCCCUUAACCUCAGACUGCCUGAGCCUGCUGGUGGGCAGGAGCUGGCCCAGACCUGCCUGCAGAGUGAGAAUUGGGGGGCACGGACUUCCGAGAUGGGGGCCAGCUGGUGAGGGGAGUGGGGACACGCGCUGGUGGUGUGCUGUCAUCCUUGGGGUGAAGGUUCCUCUGACGAUCUAGACCUCCUCUCUGAGAACCCAGGGUCUUCAGACCCCCCUGUGGAGGACGUCUGGGAAUUUGUUGUUACCCAGUCCCAGCUCGCUCUGCUGGCUGGAGAUAGGCCCCUGAAUCAGAGAGAUGAGUUGUUGAGGCAAGGAGACUAUUUGGAAAGCUGGGUGACUGAGAAGAUGGCAGACUAAUGUCUUAAGGUGGGCAAAGUCACAGGUGAGCCGACCAAAGGAGCUUUAACAGUCAGGCAGAGGGGCGGGGUCCUUUGAGGCAGGCAGUUAUGAGGAGAAGGGGACGGCAGAGGAGGAGAUGAUUGGAUGGCAUCACCAACUCAAUGGACAUGAGUUUGAGCAAGCUUCGGGAGAUGGUGAAGGACAGGGGGACCUGGCAUGCUGCAGUCCAUGGGGCCGCAAAAAGUUGGACAUGACCGAGCGACUGAACAACAAGAGUAAGAACAGCAACACGGAAAGCAAGGCAAAGACAGAGUUCCAACGUGGAGUCAGAAUUGGUUCUUCUCUGAGAUAUUAGGAAGUGGGUCCUUUCUCUCUGAUCCAGGGGUUCGGCACCCUCUAAAACUGUUGUGGGUUCACCUGUCAGCUUGUAAUGUGGGUGAAAUCUCAGAUCCUUUGGUUCUUCACAAGUCCUCGGAAGAGAUCAGCAUGGGCCUUUCCUUUCAGCAUGCAAUCCCCUCCUUCCCUCAAGCUUCUGCCCCCCGCCCCCACGCACCCCACCCCCAGAUUCCAGCCUUUGUUGUCUUAACCAGUUAGACCUGCUGUGGAGCCAACUACCAGGCUGCCUGCUCACCGUCCAUCAGGGUGAGGUCAGACCUCCCUACCAACAGCAGCCUUGUGGGUGUCCUGCAGGGGCUGUUGGGGGCUGGGGGCUUGCACCUCCUUAACACCCUGACGUGAACAGGAGCAGUCUGUUCAGAUUAAAUCCACGUUGUGUUCUGGGCCGGUUCCCAUCGCAUCCUGCUUUCCAGCCCAGGUUACCCUUAACCCGAAAUUACACCUUCAGGUCAACAGCAGCACAGACACUGAUAGCCCCAAUUUUAGUAUAAACCUUUCCCGAUGUCCAGUAUCCCAGGAGAAAUUAUGGUACAAGAAUUCAUCCUUUCCUGAAGCAGUGUAAGCCUCAAAAAAAUGGAACUAAAAUUCUUAAGUUCAAGUCCAAACAAGUUUCAAGUACUUGUAAGAAAAACAAUCCCAAACGAAUCACCGUUCUCUAUUGUGAGGUCUGAUAAACAGAUCACGUGACUUCGCGGCAGCUCUGGGCUCUGGGCGUGGCUGUCAGGAAGGCUGGAUGGACUCCAGACACUGGGGCCGGCCUGAGUCUGCAGGCUUCUGGCAGCAGGAGCUCACAGCCCAGGCUUUGCUUUGACAUCAAAAAAGGCUGUUUUGUUAAUGAGAAGGAAACUUUCCCCUUCUUCCCUUCUAGGGUUUUCGGCUUGAUAAUAAUUAAAUUGACAUAAACCAAGUUAACAGCAGAAAAAUACAUUUUGUGUUUACCGGAAUCCCAUGAAAGCCUGGCAGCCAAAGGACAGCCAGAUAAUUGCGGCUUUUGUAACUUCCCAAGACAAGGGGCGGGGUGGGU